AUGUCUACCUGCGUCACUGACAUGAUUAAUGCCAAUGGGGUGGACUUCCUUGGGUUGCAAGGAACUAUGAGAAGCAACUAUACUCCUUCCUUCUUUAGAAAACUGGAUCCAUAUCAAAAGUUUCAUUGGGAGUGGAACCCUUCUAGGGGGGAAUCUGGAGGCAUCCUUUGUGGUAUUAAUAAAGACAAGUUUGAUAUCCUUAGGGUGAAACACGGGAAAUUUAUUUUACAAAUUGACCUUUUCAAUAGGAGUAAAAAGUGCAAGUGGGCCUUGAUGGUUGCAUAUGGUGCCGCUCAUGAUGAGCAUAAACCUGAAUUUAUGGCAGAAAUGUCCUCUAUGUGCCAUAACACCCCUAUUCCUUACUUAGUGGGUAGUGAGGGGGGGUUAAUAUUCUGCGUCAUAAUGGAGAGAAAAACAAAAAAACAUUCCCAUUUUUUUGAUGUGUUUAAUUCUGCCAUUCACUUUUUAGGGCUGAGAGAGAUCAGUAUGUCAGGAGGUUGUUACACUUGGUCUAAUAAACAGGAGCAACCUACCCUGGAAAAAUUGGAUAAGGUGUUGAUGUCACCCGAUUGGGAGGAUUUAUAUCCUCUUGUUUCUGUUCAUAAAAUGGUCAAGGAUAUUGCUGACCAUAACCCACUUCUCUUAGAUGAGGGGGGUGGCAUCAUCUAG
rnacentral:rRNA from 1 species